GUAACAGAAAAUUUGGGCUCAAUGGUGGUUGUAAGCCAAGGACAACCUGUAUGUGUACAACAUUAAUGCCCAUAAAUAGGGCACGUUUCCAAUUGCAGCCAUAAUCAUCAUCUUGACUUUUUUGGCAAGAGGGGAAAAAACUAACCAAUUUUACAGAAUCAGUUAAACUGGGACAAAGUUUAAUAGAUUUUGUAGUAUUUGAAGUUGCCCUUGAACAGUUUCAAACUAAUGGGUGAAAUACAACUUUAAAAUAAUAUAGCUAAAGACGACUUGAGGUGGUCUUUUUUAGUAGGCAAGAAUGAAAUGAAGGCACUGUCAUGGGAAUGAGAUCACUAUCAUGGUGCCAUGGUAGAAAAAGGAGAUUGUCAGGUCAAUUCUCAGGUGCAGGGUGUCCACAGGGGCAUACCAUGCAUCUGAAGCCAUAUAACAAUUGGCUUUGUGUGAUUGCGGCCUCCAUCUUGAUAGUCCUCCCUAUGGGUGCCCCUGCUUAUGUGCUUUCCAAAGAAAAAAUCCACACGAGGCACAAAGAAUGGCCUACAAGCAUAGGCAGAAGAUGGGGCUUGCCUCCAAAAAUUAUGGCUGCUUCACCACUAGACAUUUUUAAGAAGAGAUUGGACAGCCAUUUGUCCAGAAUGGUAUAGUCUCCUGGUUAGGCAGGGGUUGGACUAGAGGACCUCCAAGGUCUCUUCCAACUCUGUUCUUCUGUUAUUCAAUUUGCAGAAUUGAGGGCUGUCUUGGCAACUGAAAUUCAUGGCAAUUGAUUAUUAAAAUCUUAUUUGUUGCAUUCCUAAUAUCAGAGAGAGAAAUCAGCUUUGCUGGAGUUUCUGCCUCAAUUGUUCAGAUCAUUUCAUCUGCCUGGAGUAAUUUUAUAAUAUGGAUGCUGGGGCUUUUGACCACAUAUUCGGCUUUCCACAGUCCGCAGGCAUAUCCGUAGGCAAAUUUCCUUGACUGUGCACGCAACUUUUUGCAUGCCGUUUCUGAAUUGAGAAUUGGGUGGCAGAGAGGGGGAGAGUGAAAAGGUAACAACCCAUAAUUCUCCAGCUUCCCUGCGCGCCUCUGGGCGGGAGGUCAGCGAGGCAAGAGGCGCCAUUCCCAGCCUCUGUCUCGGGCGCCCAACGGGCUCGGACCGCUUCGGGCGUCCCGCUUCUCCUGUCCCAAGAAGCCUAGCAGCAAGCCUUUUUUACCGUAAUUCCUGGUGGCGCCCCUGUUCCGCCGCCACGCACGCCCGGGAGGAGGGGGCGAGGCUGAGCUCCAGUGAGAAAACGCGGGGCCUGACGCUGCAUCUGCAGAAGAGAAAAGGGAGCAAUAUGAUCAAUACGGUUUCUUUGUGGGGCCUCGCUUACCUCGGCGGGAGACCAUCUGCUCCCUGUCAAUGGAUCACCUGCUCGUCUGACUUGUUGGCGGGGCAACGGAUUUGCCAUCUGGUCUCACGUGCAUAUUUACUUCAGCAUGACUGUUCAGGCUUCCUGAAUAUAAGAUUUCCAUUCAAGUAAUGGUACAUAGGAUUUCAGCUGAAAACUGAAACCUUGAACGUGUUUAUCAAAAUACAUAAGACAGAGUGACUGACAUUUUCAGCAAAGGCUCACACAUUUUCAGUGUGUGUUCCGUUUCAUCACUUCUUAGUGUUACAGUUUCUUACCUGUUCUCUCUGCAAAACCUAAAUAUGAUGGUUUGGGACAAUAUUUGGAUACCAGCAUUAAUAAAUUCUUAACUGGGCACUAUUUUAUUUCAUGUAAUGUAUAAGAAUGUAUAGAAUGUUGCUUUUAAUUUAGAAGGUUUGGAUCAGAAUGUAGUCUACUUUUUCUGGGCUUUUUUUUAAACUACACCAUCUUACAUUUUUGCAAACCCAGCUUAUUUCAGUAUCUAGAAUAAAUUAUACAAAUAACUUAA